ensembl:lncRNA LINC02367 long intergenic non-protein coding RNA 2367
GACCAGCUAAAGUGCCCAAGGAAAUGGAACAGCAGGGAGAGGGGACAUCACACACACCACCAAAACCUCUUCUUCAUCAUGGCCUAUGAACAGCCAAAGGGUAAAAUGAUCAGAAAACUGGACAGUUUUUGACAGUCUACUAUUUUCAGAGAAGAGAAUGUCCCAGCUAGAAAUGCAAGUGGACGAGUGCCAACCCGAUGAGGCCAAUGAUUUGCGAGUGGAGACCUCUGAGGAACUUGCUCUUCAUGGGACCCAUCCUGACCCUCCAAGAAAGCAGAAAAGGAGGUUCCUGAUGCAAAACCUAAAGAGCUUUCAUCUGAGGAAGCCUCUGCCUUUUGGGUCAACACUGAGGGGAGUAAAUGAAUGGCACCUGCUCCUUCUCUGUCUGAAGCUUGGACUUCUCCUGAGAGGACUUCCUGCUCCAAGAUAGGAGGGAGUCUCACUCAGAAGAGGAAGGAGCUCCUGUCUGCUGAGGACACGGUUCCAUCCAAUGAGCCAUUCCAAGCUAAAUCCCAGGAAGUACUAAAGAAGCAAUGCACAGACACAGUAUCAUACAAUUUGAGACACAGUAUUAUAAAAUUGAUGUGAACUUCUAGGCACAGUGUGCUCACAGUCUGUCUGGAAAUAACUUUGUAGCAAGCAUAGUUCCAGUCUAGCUGCCUGGCAGCCUGGCAGGAUAUUAUUAUUACUGAUACUAAUUUACUUUUUAAUGUAAGUCUACCCAGAAUAUAUUAAAGAAGUUUCAAGAAAUCAGGAUCAUGGAUUAUAACCUGACGUAGUGCUAAGGAACCAUCAGUUCCAUGUAAGCAUUUGGUUAGCAAGUCUUUUUCAAAGGCCAUGCUUGAGAAACAGUUUUGCUCUCCCAAACAAUGUGUUGUAGUUUUUUUUAGCAUACUACUGUGCAGAUAAAUAAAUGAGAUAUUAAUGCCAUUGCAA